rfam:Hymenolepis microstoma genomic scaffold, pathogens_HYM_contig_1437
GGGGCUCUAGCUCAAAUGGUAGAGCGCUCGCUUAGCAUGCGAGAGGUACUGGGAUCGAUACCCAGGUGCUCCA